rnacentral:rRNA from 1 species
UACGUAGGGUGCGAGCGUUAAUCGGAAUUACUGGGCGUAAAGCGUGCGCAGGCGGUUUUGCAAGCCGGAUGUGAAAUCCCCGGGCUCAACCUGGGAAUGGCAUUCGGGACUGCAAGGCUGGAGUGCGGCAGAGGAGACUGGAAUUCCCGGUGUAGCAGUGAAAUGCGUAGAUAUCAGGAGGAAUACCGAUGGCGAAGGCAGGUCUCUGGGCUGACACUGACGCUCAUGCACGAAAGCGUGGGGAGCAAACAGG